GAUGAACGCUGGCGGCGUGCCUAAUACAUGCAAGUCGAGCGAACAGACGAGGAGCUUGCUCCUCUGACGUUAGCGGCGGACGGGUGAGUAACACGUGGAUAACCUACCUAUAAGACUGGGAUAACUUCGGGAAACCGGAGCUAAUACCGGAUAAUAUAUUGAACCGCAUGGUUCAAUAGUGAAAGACGGUUUUGCUGUCACUUAUAGAUGGAUCUGCGCCGCAUUAGCUAGUUGGUAAGGUAACGGCUUACCAAGGCGACGAUGCGUAGCCGACCUGAGAGGGUGAUCGGCCACACUGGAACUGAGACACGGUCCAGACUCCUACGGGAGGCAGCAGUAGGGAAUCUUCCGCAAAGGGCGAAAGCCUGACGGAGCAACGCCGCGUGAGUGAUGAAGGUCUUCGGAUCGUAAAACUCUGUUAUUAGGGAAGAACAAAUGUGUAAGUAACUAUGCACGUCUUGACGGUACCUAAUCAGAAAGCCACGGCUAACUACGUG
rnacentral:rRNA from 1 species